rnacentral:rRNA from 1 species
CGUAGGUGCAAGCGUUAAUCGGAAUUACUGGGCGUAAAGCGUGCGCAGGCGGUCCGCUAAGACAGAUGUGAAAAUCCCCGGGCGUUAACCUGGGAACGUGCAUUUGUGACUGGCGGGCUAGAGUAUGGCAGAGGGGGGUAGGAAUUCCACGUGUAGCAGUGAAAUGCGUAGAGAUGUGGAGGAAUACCGAUGGCGAAGGCAGCCCCUGGGCAAUACUGACGCUCAUGCACGAAAGCGUGGGGAGGCAAACAGGAUU